rnacentral:piRNA from 1 species
UAGAUAUUAUGGCAACUGGAGAAACACU